rnacentral:misc_RNA from 1 species
GUGCAUUGUUCGAUAUGGAUACAAGGACGUGCCCAAAGAAGAAGAUAGCUUUGAGAACCAAUUGGUCAUGAGCAUUGCCGAGUUCAUCAUGAUGGAAGCCGAGGAAACAACUUCUGGAAGCUUUGAUGCCUCUCCUGACGGAAGAAUGGCGGUCAUACAACAGUCAGAGCGAUUCGGCACAAGGCUAAUAAUGAGGGACACCGAUGAUAACGGAGUAGGCGAGUCGACUACUGUUAGGAGUAGCAAGUCAGAGACACUCCAGAGCUUGCAAUCGAUGUAUGAGCAAGAAACACCAGGGUUGAGCCGUAGGAGGCGAGUGCGGUUUGAGCUGCCU